CAGACUCGAGAAGAGGGGGUGGACAAGAAGGUGUCGGAAGCAUUAGCAGUAAGAAAACAUGUCAACAGAAUAAAAUAUUAACCAAUGACAGAAAAGAUCGGGAAAUCCCACCCCCAUCUCCAAGCCAAGCAUCGGGUCAGCCCUCAAUUCUUAGCCGGUGGAGACAGCACCUCGGUCGGCUUGCGCUUUAUAAUUACGAUGAGGUCUUCCUCACCUUGUCCAGGGGUACCAAAGCUACGCACUGAAACACUGUCAAAUUGCGAUAAAUUCUAAUAAUUUUACCGAUGUUAUUACAGUCCUAUAUUUGGAAAUUAUUUAGAUCGGUCUCAACAAAAUGAACACAUAGAGCCUACAAAAAAGCAACUGCAACGAAAUAUAUUAAAUAAUUAAAACAAGUAGGGAAAGCUUUAGUUAUCUAUUUCAAGCUUUAUAUUUUUGUAUGAGUUUUGACUCCCAACAGCCAAUAAUAAUUUGCAUUCGCCAAUAGGCUGCCUGGUUGGCUAAGAUCGCACGGUUGGAGAUUUAUUAACUUAUGAAUGGCUGAUUUCGCGGAAGGGGAGCUCGAAGGGCGUAAGACUGCUAUAGGACGAUACUGAACAUUUUAUCCCUACAAUGACCAUUUCUGCGACUCACUGCAGUCUUGCGAGUGACUUCAUGGGAAGGACAGCGGCAAAUAAACCGGACAUUGCCACUUUAAAGGCAGCCCCGGGCCAUUCGAAAAAGCGCAGACCCAGAUGCCGCAUUCAAGCAAGAAGAAAAACUGGUUGAAAGAUUCUUAAGACUAAAAGCAAGCGUGGAGACAGGGCUGCAAGCUCCAGAGGGUUGACAUGACCUGACCCUCCCAGGGCCAAGGAGACCAGCGCAGGUAUAUCAUCUUCAGUCUCCAGACACCCUCUUUUCUCUCUCCCACUAUACAGGCGCUGUGUGGUGGCAAGGGCCAGGGCGAGGGCAGAGCCAGGGGGCCCAGGGCUGGGUGGGUAAGAGAGCAGGGCACCCCACCCCUGGGUACAUCUCUCUGGACAACCCUAAGGAGAUGGCAGGCUAGAUAUAGCAUUUGCAAUUCUAAGCAUUUAGCAGUCAUCUUUAGAGACUUGCAAGCGCACACAUGAAGGGAAACACAAUCCAAGUGUACCAGCAAAUUACCAGUGUACUUCUUCAGGAUUAUUUUUCUUUCAAGCCACUUAUGCAAAAUGCAACAGCGCCGUUUCAUUUGACCUCACAGGAAACAGAGUAUAAAAGGCAGAGAAAGCAGUCCUCUAAGGUAAUCUCAGUGGCAUGCUCUCUAAAGAGGCUACAUAUCCUUUAUGUGAAACAGCCAUAGUUACCCCAGCCUCAGUACAUAGGAACCUCCACAGAUGACAAGCAUGAAAAGUCCUUUCAUCAGAUCGCCCAGUAAUUUUCUGGAAGCUGCACUGUAGAAACUGUAGCUGUUGCAUAUAUGAGGGAGGCUCAAAAACAUGUUCUGGCUGUAAAGUGGUGUGUGUUAUUGCAGGCCAGGCAGUGUGUGUGUGUUCAUUUGGAGACGGGCCUUAUGUUUCUUAAGCAAGUGAGAUAUAAUGUCAAAAAUGUCACAGGAUCCUCAAAUACAUCACAGAUGAAAUAAUGCUUUUUGUCUGAAUUUUUUUAUUUUUAUUCCAAAGCCUAAUGUCAAUAUCUGUCUUUCUCUCUUGCGGCUUUUGCUGCCAUGUUCUCCUGCUCUGACUGUGAUAUAAAUAAAUAACAAUAAAGACCACUGCAUUUACA